rnacentral:misc_RNA from 1 species
AAACUUUUCCGGGUAUCGGGAGCUGGACGGCGAAUUAUUUUGCUUUGCGUGGCUGGCAGGCGAAAGAUGUUUUCCUGCCGGAUGAUUAUCUGAUUAAACAGCGAUUUCCGGGAAUGACACCGGCGCAAAUCCGCCGUUAUGCCGAGCGCUGGAAGCCCUGGCGUUCUUAUGCGCUGUU